GACACUUCUUCUUCCACAUAUUUUGUGCUGGCUCAAGCAAAAGUGCUCACCACAAGCUAUCGUGUCUGAGGAUGAAGUCUCGAGGCGAUCGAUCGAAGUCAUGUCUUUUUCUGUUUUCAAAUACCUCCCAACCCCUAUUCCCACUUUUCUCUAUUGUAUUCCUACGAGGUGAAAGGAGAGCUCACCCCUGGCUUUCAUUCAAUUCCUUUCUCCUUGGUCCUCAAAAGAGGCUUUUUAGGGUUUGAAAGGACCAUCUCCUCUACUAUAAAUUCUGAAUGGUAAGUUCUUCUUUUCUUAAUGAAAGUUCAGUAGAUUAUAUCUAGGGCUUAUUGGACAUUAAUGUAUUUUCUGUUAUGUUCUAGAAUGUUGCUUUGUCAAAAUUAUUUACUCCUAUAAUUAUUUUGCCAUAGAUUUUCUAUGUUUACAAUUGCUUUGUUGUUUCAGUUUUCUAGACAAAAUAUUAAUAUUUUGGGUGUUAUAUAUAUAGUCAUUUUUUUGUAACUAAAUGAUGAAGAAAUUAGUGGAAUACAAAAAAUUAUAGAAAUCUUUUCUCCUAAAGCUCUGCUAUAGUAAUUUAAUCUGCAAAAAAUUUUAUUUCAUAUUUUCUUUUCUGAUGUUUAACCAACAAAAGUGGUAUCAAAGUCAUGGCUUCCUUGUCAAACCAAAACAACAAUACUUCUUUCUCAAUUAUUCUAAUUUUUUUCGGAGAAAAUUAUGAGUUUUGGAAGGUGAAAAUGAGGACACUUCUUCUGUCAGAAGGGCUAUGGAGUAUUGUUACCAAAGGAUUCAAUGAACUAGAAAAUGAAGAUGAGUUAUUAGGAGAAGAAGAGAAACUUGAGGAGAACAGAAUGAAAGAUGCCAAAACUCUUUCCACGAUUCAAAAUGGGGUCUCUCCUGCCAUUUUUUUCAGGAUUAUUUGAGUACAAACAUCAAAGAGGCAUGAGAGAUUUUGCAAAGAGAAUUUCAAGGAGAUAAUUGAGCUAUAGCUAUCAAACUUCAAAAUUUACAAAGAGAGUUUGAGAAUCUGAAGAUGAAGGAGUCUAAAUCUGUCAAAGGCUAUUUCUCAAGCAUCAUUAAAAUUGUAAAUCAGAUAAGAAUUUAUGAAGAGAAUAUAUCAGAUCAGAAAGUGGUUGAAAAGAUUCUAAUCAGCAUGCCAGAAAAAUAUGAUGCUAUAGUGGCUGCAAUUGAAAAGUCAAAAGAUCUGUCUACCUUAACAAUUGAACAGUUGAUGGGUUCUUUAGAAUCUCAUGAGCAGAUAAGGCUGAGACGAGAAGAUCAAGCUAUGGAAAAUGCUUUCCAAUCAAAACUUAUGCUAAAGCAAUACAAAAAUUAAAAAAAGAUGAUCAAAAUAAAGGAGACCAGAAGAAGUGGAAGAAAUUUGACUCAAACAACAAAGAAGACAGCAAGAGAGAAAAAGGUUCAUCUUCUAAUAGCUCAAAACUUUUUUGCAAAAUUUGUAAAAGAAUAAACCGUGAUAAUUCAAGUUGCUGGCAUCGUGGAAAGCCUCAAUGCUACAAUUGCAAAAAAAUUUGAGCAUAUUGAGAAAAAAUUAUAGAUUCAAGGUUGAAAGUCAUACUAACUUUUUUGAGCAAAAAGUUGAAGAAGAUGCUGAUGAUGAGAAUCUCUUCUAUGCUAACCAAUCUGAUUCACAACAUGAUGAAGAUACUUGGUAUCUUGACAGUGGUUGUAGUAAUCACAUGACAGAAAAUAAGAAAAUAUUUCUUGAUCUUGAUACUACAAUCACAUCUAAGGUAUGGUUAGAAAAUGUAGUAAUAGAAUUUAAAGGCAUAGAAAAAGUUGCUGUCAAAAUCAAGAAAGGAACCAAGUUUAUUUGUGAUGUUUUAUUGGUUCUUGAAUUAAAUCAGAACUUAUUGAGUGUUGGCCAGCUUAUGGAAAAUCGCUUUGUUUCUGAAGAAAGCUACUACACAAUUUAUAAUCAAAGAGAUAAGAAUUUGAUGAUUGCAUCAGUAAAAAUGAAGAAAAACAAAAAUUUUUCUAUGCAAUUUAACCAUGGGGCUACAUUAGCCUUAAAGUCCACAAUUGUGCAUGAUACUUGGCUAUAGCACAAGAGGUUUUGCCAUCUCAACUUGCAUGGCUUGAAUCUACUGCAACAGAAAAAUAUGGUAAAAGGACUAUUUGAGAUAAAGUCUAAUUUGGAGUCAUGUAAAAGCUGCAUUAUAGGCAAACAACAUCGGUUGUUAUUUUCAAAGCAUGGAGCUUGGAGAGCAAAAGCACCUUUGGAGCUGAUUCACACCGAUAUCUAUGGCCAAAUGAAAACUUUUUCUCGAAAUUAGCAUAGGUAUUUUCUUACCUUCAUUGAUGAUUAUUCAAGGAUGACAUAGGUUUAUUUUUUAAAGAAGAAGUCAAAAGUCUUCAUCAUUUUUAAGAAUUUUAAAGCCUUUGAGGAGAAGCUAAGUGGCCAUCGUAUUAAAACUAUUCGAAGUGAUAGAGGAGGAAAAUUCACUUCAGAAAAAUUUGAAGAAUUUUGUAAAGAAGAGAAGAUUUUGAAGCAAUUGAUAGUGGCAUAUAGUCCAUAACAGAAUAGCAUAUAGAAAGAAAAAAUCAUAUGAUUAUAGAGAUGGCAAGGUCAAUGUUGAAUGAAAAAGGAUUGCCCAAAAGUUUUUAGGCAGAGGCUAUUCAUACAGCUGUAUACAUUCUCAACAGGUGUCCUACGAAGGUUGUGAAGAAUAGGAUUCCAUUUGAGGCAUGGAUUGAUGUAAAACCUUCUGUGCAAUAUAUGAAAGUAUUGCCAGCAUUUGUUAUGCCCAUAUUCUAGCUGAGAAAAGAUCAAAGCUCGAUGAGAAAAGUAAGAAAUGUGUGUUUAUUGGCUAUAGCUCAGACUCAAAAUGCUAUAGGCUAUAUGAUGUUAAAGUUGAAAAAUUGAUAAUCAGUAGAGAUGUGAUUCUUAAUGAAGAACAGGCUUUGGAUUGGAAAGAAAAGAAGCUGCCAGAAUCUUCUAUUGUAAUUUCUCAAGAGUUUCCNNNNNNNNNNNNNNNNNNNNAAGAGGAUCAGAGGUUCAAGAAGAUCCAUCUCCGUUUUUAUCUCCUACACAUUCUGGUUUGGAGCUAACACCAUCUUCAUCAGAGUCUUCUCCAAGCAAAAUCACAAGAUUGAGUGAAAUAUAUACUUCAUGUAAUUUUUUAGCAACAGAAUCAGGAACUUUUGAAGAAGCUCAAAGGGAGAAAUUGUGGAUAAAGCAUGGAUGAGAAAAUUCAUAUGAUAAAAAAGAACAAGACUUGGGAGCUUGUUAAUUAGUCUAAAGCAAAAGAAGUUGUUAGUAUUAAGUGGAUUUAUAGGACAAAAUUUGAUCAAGAUGGAGACAUCCAAAAGCACAAAGCGAGGCUAGUUGCAAGAGGAUUUACCCAAAAGCCUGGUGUUGUUUUUCAAGAAAUUUUUUUACCCAUUGUAAGGUUUGAGACUAAGAACUCUAAUCAUGAUUGUUGCUCAAAGGGACUGGAAUAUUUUUUAGCUUAAUGUAAAGUCAGCAUUUCCAAAUGGAGUGCUAGAAGAUGAAGUAUAUGUAGAGCAACCUCAAGGUUAUAUAGUAGAAGGGACAGAAAAUAAGGUAUAUAAACUGGAAAAGACUCUUUAUGGGCUGAAACAAGCACCUCGUGCUUAGUAUGUUGAAGUUGACAAGUAUUUUAUCACAAGAGGAUUCAAAAAAGUAACCGUUAGCCUACUCUUUAUAUUUUUAAAAAAAGAUAGCUCAACUCUUAUUAUAUCACUUUAUGUGGAUGAUUUAAUUUUUACCAGCAAUGAUGAAGAUUUAAUACAGAGAUUUAAAAGAGAUAUGAUGGAGUCUUAUGAAAUGAAUGAUUUGGGCUUGCUUUAUUAUUUUUUUAGAAUUGAAGUAUCUCAAAUAGAAGAAGGGAUCUUCAUUUCUCAAAAAAAAUAUGCUGAAAAUAUUCUAAAGAAGUUUAAUUUAUUUGGAUGCAAGCCCGUUGCUGCUCCUCUUGUUAUAAAUAAAAAGUUGAAGAAGAAAGAUGGUUCAAAGAAGGUAGAUGCAGCCAAGUACAAAAGCUUGAAUAGCAGUUUUUAGUAUCUUAUAGCAAUCCGACCUAACAUAAUAUUUGCUAUAAGUUUAUUAUCUCGAUAUAUGUAAGAACCUACUCAGAUUCAUUUUGCUACAGUAAAGAAAGUAUUGAGAUAUUUGUAGAGGACAAUUGAUUAUAACAUCAUGUACAAAAGUGCAGAAUUUAUGAACUUGGUGGGAUAUACAGAUAGUGACUGGGCUGGCUAUUUGGAUGAUAUGAAGUGCACAUCAGUUUAUAUUUUUUUUCUUUGAUUCAAGCAGUGUCUCAUAGACUUCUAAGAAGUAAAGGUGUGUUGCUCAAUCUUCUGUUGAAGCAGAAUAUGUGGCAGCAGCAAAGGCAACUUCUCAAGCUACAUGGCUUUGAAGAAUGCUGAAGAAAAUUGGAGAAAAACAAGAAGAAGAAACUAUUUUGUAUUGUAAUAAUAAGUCAGUAAUUACCGUUGAAAAGAAUUAGUGAGUCAUGAUUGUAUAAAACAUGUUGCCAUCAAAUAUUAUUUUAUUAGAAAAGCU
rnacentral:lncRNA from 1 species